rnacentral:rRNA from 1 species
GACGAACGCUGGCGGCGUGCUUAACACAUGCAAGUCGAACGGAAAGGCCCUGCUUUUGUGGGGUGCUCGAGUGGCGAACGGGUGAGUAACACGUGAGUAACCUGCCCUUGACUUUGGGAUAACUUCAGGAAACUGGGGCUAAUACCGGAUAGGAGCUCCUGCUGCAUGGUGGGGGUUGGAAAGUUUCGGCGGUUGGGGAUGGACUCGCGGCUUAUCAGCUUGUUGGUGGGGUAGCGGCUUACCAAGGCUUUGACGGGUAGCCGGCCUGAGAGGGUGACCGGCCACAUUGGGACUGAGAUACGGCACAGACUCGUACGGGAGGCAGCAGUGGGGAAGAUUGCACAAUGGGCGGAAGCCUGAUGCAGCAAAGCCGCGUGCGGGAUGACGGCCUUCGGGUUGUAAACCGCUUUCGCCUGUGACGAAGCGUGAGUGACGGUAAUGGGUAAAGAAGCACCGGCUAACUACGUG